UGGUGCUGAUGGGACUUGAGAGGUCAGGAAGAGACUCUUCUUCCCCCAUAGACAAAUCGAUAUGUUUGUGUAUUUUCUUAGUUGAACAAUUUUUGACCGCUUGAAUUUGCUACCGAAACAAUCAACUUGAGGGAAUACACACAAGAAAAGGAAAAAAAAAAGUAAAAAGGGGAGAUAUCACUUCAUUCAACAGCAUUGUAUGGCCUAAUGAUGUAAAACAUAACAUGUUCUAAGUUCCUGCUCAGACAAUUGUGCUCUUUCAGAAACAGCGAACUGCACAGGGAGACCACUUGAUGCUAGAGGGCUUAAUUCUCUAAUUGUUUAUCAUUUCUUUUCAUUAGUUAAUAAUUUUGAUUCAGUUAAAACUAUUGUACCAUGAUAUGUUUUGACUUUGUUAAAUUACAACUUUAAGCUUUUAACGUCAAUUUGAUUUAAAUUUUCCGUCUAA